rnacentral:rRNA from 1 species
GACGAACGCUGGCGGCGUGCUUAACACAUGCAAGUCGAACGAAGUGUCGAACGGGUGAGUAAUACGUGGGUAACCUGCCCUCCUUUUUGGGAUAAUCCUUGGAAACGGGGUCUAAUACCGAAUAACGGGGGAUUGGCUCGCGGCCUAUCAGCUUGUUGGUGGGGUGAUGGCCUACCAAGGCGGUGACAGGUAGCCGGCCUGAGAGGGUUAGCGGCAAAAUUCGGUAUAAGAUACGGCACAGAUUCCUACAGGAGGAAGCAGUGGGUGAUAUUGCACAAUGGGAGAAAGCAUAAUGCAGAGACGAAGCGUGGGGGAUGAAGGCGUUAGGGUUGUAAACCGCUUACGAUGUGGAAAGGGUAGGUGGAGAGGAAGCGCAGGCUAACUACGUGCCAGGAGCCGCGGUAAUAC